UGGAGUAUGCAAUUACAGUCACAAAGUGUGU
rnacentral:piRNA from 1 species